UACGUAGGGUGCAAGCGUUGUCCGGAAUUAUUGGGCGUAAAGAGCUCGUAGGCGGUCUGUCGCGUCUGCUGUGAAAACUCGGGGCUUAACCCCGGGCCUGCAGUGGGUACGGGCAGACUAGAGUGCGGUAGGGGAGACUGGAAUUCCUGGUGUAGCGGUGAAAUGCGCAGAUAUCAGGAGGAACACCGGUGGCGAAGGCGGGUCUCUGGGCCGUAACCGACGCUGAGGAGCGAAAGCGUGGGGAGCGAACAGG
rnacentral:rRNA from 1 species